rnacentral:rRNA from 1 species
AGUGCGAAUGCUGACAUAAGUAACGAUAAAGCGGGUGAAAAGCCCGCUCGCCGGAAGACCAAGGGUUCCUGUCCAACGUUAAUCGGGGCAGGGUGAGUCGACCCCUAAGGCGAGGCCGAAAGGCGUAGUCGAUGGGAAACAGGUUAAUAUUCCUGUACUUGGUGUUACUGCGAAGGGGGGACGGAGAAGGCUAUGUUGGCCGGGCGACGGUUGUCCCGGUUUAAGCGUGUAGGCUGGUUUUCCAGGCAAAUCCGGAAAAUCAAGGCUGAGGCGUGAUGACGAGGCACUACGGUGCUGAAGCAACAAAUGCCCUGCUUCCAGGAAAAGCCUCUAAGCAUCAGGUAACAUCAAAUCGUACCCCAAACCGACACAGGUGGUCAGGUAGAGAAUACCAAGGCGCUUGAGAGAACUCGGGUGAAGGAACUAGGCAAAAUGGUGCCGUAACUUCGGGAGAAGGCACGCUGAUAUGUAGGUGAAGUCCCUUGCGGAUGGAGCUGAAAUCAGUCGAAGAUACCAGCUGGCUGCAACUGUUUAUUAAAAACACAGCACUGUGCAAACACGAAAGUGGACGUAUACGGUGUGACGCCUGCCCGGUGCCGGAAGGUUAAUUGAUGGGGUCAGCGCAAGCGAAGCUCUUGAUCGAAGCCCCGGUAAACGGCGGCCGUAACUAUAACGGUCCUAAGGUAGCGAAAUUCCUUGUCGGGUAAGUUCCGACCUGCACGAAUGGCGUAAUGAUGGCCAGGCUGUCUCCACCCGAGACUCAGUGAAAUUGAACUCGCUGUGAAGAUGCAGUGUACCCGCGGCAAGACGGAAAGACCCCGUGAACCUUUACUAUAGCUUGACACUGAACAUUGAGCCUUGAUGUGUAGGAUAGGUGGGAGGCUUUGAAGUGUGGACGCCAGUCUGCAUGGAGCCGGCCUUGAAAUACCACCCUUUAAUGUUUGAUGUUCUAACGUGGACCCGUGAUCCGGGUUGCGGACAGUGUCUGGUGGGUAGUUUGACUGGGGCGGUCUCCUCCUAAAGAGUAACGGAGGAGCACGAAGGUUGGCUAAUCCUGGUCGGACAUCAGGAGGUUAGUGCAAUGGCAUAAGCCAGCUUGACUGCGAGCGUGACGGCGCGAGCAGGUGCGAAAGCAGGUCAUAGUGAUCCGGUGGUUCUGAAUGGAAGGGCCAUCGCUCAACGGAUAAAAGGUACUCCGGGGAUAACAGGCUGAUACCGCCCAAGAGUUCAUAUCGACGGCGGUGUUUGGCACCUCGAUGUCGGCUCAUCACAUCCUGGGGCUGAAGUAGGUCCCAAGGGUAUGGCUGUUCGCCAUUUAAAGUGGUACGCGAGCUGGGUUUAGAACGUCGUGAGACAGUUCGGUCCCUAUCUGCCGUGGGCGCUGGAGAACUGAGGGGGGCUGCUCCUAGUACGAGAGGACCGGAGUGGACGCAUCACUGGUGUUCGGGUUGUCAUGCCAAUGGCACUGCCCGGUAGCUAAAUGCGGAAGAGAUAAGUGCUGAAAGCAUCUAAGCACGAAACUUGCCCCGAGAUGAGUUCUCCCUGACCCUUUAAGGGUCCUGAAGGAACGUUGAAGACGACGACGUUGAUAGGCCGGGUGUGUAAGCGCAGCGAUGCGUUGAGCUAACCGGUACUAAUGAACCGUGAG